rnacentral:rRNA from 1 species
GCAGCAGGCGCGAAACCUUUACACUGCACGCCAGUGCGAUAAGGGGACUCCAAGUGCGAGGGCAUAUCGUCCUCGCUUUUGUGUACCGUAAGGUGGUACACGAAUAAGGGCUGGGCAAGACCGGUGCCAGCCGCCGCGGUAAUACCGGCAGCCCAAGUGAUGACCGCUCUUAUCGGGCCUAAAGCGUCCGUAGCUGGCCGUUCAAGUCCAUCGGGAAAUCCGCGCGCCCAACGCGCGGGCGUCCGGUGGAAACUGUUCGGCUUGGGACCGGAAGACCUGAGGGGUACGUCUGGGGUAGGAGUGAAAUCCCGUAAUCCUGGACGGACCACCGGUGGCGAAAGCGCCUCAGGAGGACGGAUCCGACGGUGAGGGACGAAAGCUCGGGUCACGAACCGGAUUAGAUACCCGGGUAGUCCGAGCUGUAAACGAUGUUUGCUAGGUGUGACACAGGCUACGAGCCUGUGUUGUGCCGUAGGGAAGCCGUGAAGCAGACCGCCUGGGAAGUACGUCCGCAAGGAUGAAACUUAAAGGAAUUGGCGGGGGAGCACUACAACC